GUGAAUCAUCGAAUUUUUGAACGCAAAUUGCACUCUCUUCGGAGAGUAUGCCUGUUUGAGGGUCAGCCUAAAAAAAAAAUCGACAUAGUCGCUGUUUCGCGGUGACAUUCGUCGGAAAUUUGUUCAUCUUUAACCUUUAUAUUUUAAGCUGCUUAAAAUUUUCUUUACGAUUCCACGAACGUUUCUAAGAUUUGCUUCUUAUACGUUUAAGGUAUCGAUCUUUAUUAGGCGUGACUGUUACAUCGGAACUCGUCAUUAA
rnacentral:misc_RNA from 1 species